CAUUGGUGAAAGCACUGCACACAUCUGUAGCAUCAUCUCCAUACGUCGGAUUAUCCGCUAAAUAAUCUUGAUACAUAUUCUUCGGUGGUCGCCUUUUCUAUCCCGAAAAAUAAUGGCUUCUAUCGCGAAAAAUAACAGUAUGGCCAGGAACCGAACCACCAUGUAUUCGUUUGCUUUUAUGCAAAAACAUGCACACAAUCGAAGCAGCUACGAAGAACCGAACCACCAUGUAUUCGUUUGCUUUUAUGCAAAAACAUGCGCACAAUCGAAGCAGCUACGAAGAUGUCGUAGUCCUCGUCGUUAGAAGAAUCGUCAUCCAAUUGCUUUCGAAGACGUAAUCUAGAAGCCCUCAACUAAGAAAAAUUGUACAGCUCACAACAUAGAACAAAAUAAACAUGAAUUGGAUCAAGAUCAGCUCACAACAUAGAACAAAAUAAACAUGAAUUGGAUCAAGAUAUUCGUAUACGAAGAUGAAACCUCCUUUGUGAUGCGCCGUGCAACGAGACAAGCCCUCAACUAAGAAAAAUGUGAUCCAGAAGCUCUCAACUAAGAAAAAUUGCACAGCUCAUAAUAUAGAAAAAAAUAAACAUGAAUUAGAUCAAGAUAUUCGUAUACGAAAAUGAAACCUUUGCGAUACGCCGUGCAACGAGGCUUGAUCGGUUGUUGUCUGGCAACCUGGAUGCCAUCUAUGCCGUCCCUGGAUGAUGUAACGAAGACGCAAGGAACUGGCAGCGAAUUGUGACCACGCGAGUGGCUUCCAGCGAUUACUACGAAUUCCAAGCGAGUGGCUUCCAGCUAAGUGGCAAGCAGCCACAUACGAACUGGCGGCGGCGACCUGUUCACGAC
rnacentral:lncRNA from 1 species